GUGAGGAAUAUUGGUCAAUGGGCGAGAGCCUGAACCAGCCAAGUCGCGUGAAGGAAGAAGGAUCUAUGGUUCGUAAACUUCUUUUGCAGGGGAAUAAAGUGCAGGACGUGUCCUGUUUUGUAUGUACCCUGAGAAUAAGGAUCGGCUAACUCCGUGCCAGCAGCCGCGGUAAUACGGAGGAUCCGAGCGUUAUCCGGAUUUAUUGGGUUUAAAGGGUGCGUAGGUGGUUUGAUAAGUCAGCGGUGAAAGUUUGCAGCUUAACUGUAAAAAUGCCGUUGAAACUGUCGGACUUGAGUGUAAAUGAGGUAGGCGGAAUGCGUGGUGUAGCGGUGAAAUGCAUAGAUAUCACGCAGAACUCCGAUUGCGAAGGCAGCUUACUAAGCUACAACUGACACUGAAGCACGAAAGCGUGGGGAUCAAACAGGAUUAGAAACCCUUGUAGUCC
rnacentral:rRNA from 1 species